GGAAGCUUCUGCUAUUUGGAUGAGGCUGAGGUCAAUUUAAUUUGAAAGAAAAAGACACGAAGCAUAUUGUCCCGUUCUGAUUCGAGUCAAUCCAUUAGGGUUCCAGGAUUUUGCUUCCCUUAUUUUAAAUGAUUUAUGAAUAAAUAAAAAAAAGAAUGCAAUUUCCAGAUGUAAGAAGCAGGCGGUUGGCGGUGGUUUCCAAGGCAAUACCGGACGAUCGCUGUCACAAACUCCAACCCAUGUGUGGCUGUGGCUAUCCCCUGCCUAAAACUCGACAAUCGCAGCUUCACACUUGUCAGUUUUUGUACGUAGCUGAGUAUACACUGCAUUAUUACAACGCACUACUUUUAUAAUUUCAAUGCUGUACUCUGCUUGCAUUUGGCCCCAUUCCGGUUGUCUUUUACCUGCUACAUUAUUAUUUUUAUAAUUCACUUCCUCUCCCUCCCAGUCCUUUGUGGUGUAUUUACUACGCUAUAAAUUCAUGAAUCUUGGUUCUUUGUAAACAUGGGAGGUGCGGCCGUUUCAUUGGCAAAGAGAAAAGGGUAAGGUUUGAGGCGCACACUUGUGUGGUACCAUCAAAACUUACAAAAGGAGUGACGGUGCCACGCUGUGUGCGUCUGAAACACUUGCUCUUUUACUAGAAUUUGUUGAAGACAAGGAAACCAAAGGGGGUGAGUCUGAUAAACGGUGCCCUUCAUUAUCUUUACGGUUUAUAGUGAUUAGUGUGUGAUUGUUUUACUUAUUUGCCGAACUCUACUUGGUUCACCUAUCAAGCAUGUGCUUUUGCGGAUUUCAGAGGCUGAUCAGGUUUUAGUUUUGUUAGAUUACAGGAUUGUCUUGUAUCCCUUGAAAAGCAAUUUGUAUGGGUCUACUGCUAGGUUGCCUGCAAGACUGCAAAAGAUACAAAGAAAUGGUUGCCAGAUAUAUAAAACUCUGAAAGUGUCCGUUCCAUCUGAAAUUUAAUGCAAUCUUCCAUAAGUUUUGACGGUUUAAA